ACAUGACCAGGCUGAGCUGGGACGUGAGGAGCGAGGGUAUAGAAUGAGACCCUGUCUCAAAAAAGGAGAGGGGAGGGAGAAGGAGAAUAAGAAGAAAAAGGACUCUGCUGUGGCAGACACACACAGAGGAAACUCAGCUGCUGUGGCAGACACACACAGUGGAAACCCCGGUCCAGUAAAGAUAAACCGGCCAUUGCGAGUGCAAGCCACUACGUGACUGUCUCCAUUUCUUCCCUGCUGGGUGAAUCACCAAGAUACUUCACUGAGAGAAAAAAGACAGCUGCAAAGAGAAGCACCUGAGGAGAAGUGUCCGUUUCACACCAUCUGACUAAUGCAAGGGUAGAGACAAGGAGAUUUAAUCUAUGCUCAGAAGAGGAUUUAUUUAUUUAUUUAUUUAUUUAUUUUUGCCUGGUGAUGCACAGAUGAACACCUUCUUUAAUCCCAGCACUUGGGAGGUAGAGUCAGACGGAUCUCUGUGAGUUCAAGGCCAGCCUGGUCUACAGGUGCAGGAGUCCCUGCCAUUCUUCUUCUUACUAAAUGCCGAAGGUGUUCUGCCACACCAGAACAAACUUGGUCCACACCAGCCAAACUUCUGCCACCCAAGUUGGGGAAGGAGGAGGACCAGACAAGCUUCGCAGUGACAGAAGAAGAAAGCCUUGGCUGGUGAGGUGGUUCGGCAGGUAAAGGCACAUGUCACCAAGCCCGAGGACCUGAACUGGAUCUCCAGGAUUCACAUGGAAGAGAGAAUCAGCUCUCAAACGUUGUGCACUGACGUCUAUAAGUGUGCUCUGGUAGAAACACCACACACACACACACACACACACACACACACACACACACCUUUCUCUCUCCCUCUCCCUAUCUCAAUAAUCAACCAACCAACCAAACCAAACAAACAAAUAUAUGUAAUUAAGACAAUAAAAGUAAAUAAAGCUACCUCUGCUUGGGCCUCAGGAGGCCCCAGUGUGAGCUCCCUCUGCCGAGCUGCAACCCUACUCCUCUUCCCAAUGUAGAACACUAAACUCAGGGGCCCUACAGGGUUAAUUUUACACAGGCAUUGCAUGUCCUUCCUCUGUCUGAGGGUUAAGAAUCUUGUGUUGAACACAGAGUCAGUGCUUGGGAACACCUACCCAGUGAAAGAGGGAGUGAAAAUGAGUCAGUCCAUACCAGUGACGCUGUGGAAACAUCAACUUCCAGGCUUAGUUUCAGCCCUAAGCUAGAAGAUGGAGUGGAGGGAGACGGAAAGGGCCAGGCGGUCACUAGAGGACCACUGCCAGGCGUGGUGGCUCACACCUGUAGUCUCAGCUCCUGGAAGGCAGGAGGAUGCUCAGAAAUUCAAGGGCAGCUUCAGAUACCUAAGGAGUUUGAGGCUAGCCUGUGUGAUGUGACUCUAAAGGAAAAUGUAAGAACAUAACCUACUCGUGGGGUCACGGGCUGGAAAGCGGUGACAGCCCUGACUUUAUCUCAUAUUUUUUGGUCCAUAUAAUUGCUAACUGUUUCUUGGGAGGAACCGCUCCUCAGCACACACACGCAUGUUUCAUAGUUCAGGAACACAGGUCAGCAGUGAACAUCUGUGGAGUGCAAUCCCAAGAAUUCUUUACGUUCUGAAAUCAUGUGCUCUGAAUGGUACCAGCUUCCUCGUGUCUUAGAAAUCUUACAUGGAAUCAUAAUUUCUGCAGAAAUCUGCAUAUGCUUUAUUUCUCGUUUCAGUCACGUCAACCUUACAGGAAGCUGCACCUCCCACAGUCACAGUGAAUGUGCCAGCAAUAUGAACCGGCAGACGCUUGGCCGGAAGACGACCAUCUAAGUUUCCCCGCAAUGCGCCAGAACUCAUGGCAGUGAACGUCCUCUUCCCCAGUGUCCUUCCCCAUUCUUGGAGAAAGGGAGACUCACUGUGUUUACAGUGGCAGAAAACGGUCGCCCACACAGCCGACGCCUGCAGUGUGCCCUCUCAUCUUGAUGUUCACACUGUUGGGGAUGGCAAAUGCUGUCCACAUUUGAGAAAUGUUUGAAGUCUGGUUGGAGGGAAGGGCUGGGGAGACACCUCUCCUAGACAAGGCCUGCCGUUCACGUCUUCGCUGAGGGAGACAGGAGCCCCUGAAAUGGUGGGACCUAUGUCGUGGGAUUCUCUUUCAGGAUGGACAUUCUUUGGACAGAUUUUGAGUUGCAAGAGAGACCAAUGAAGCCCAUUAGACGGUCAGUCAAUCAAUCAUCA